rnacentral:tRNA from 1 species
GUAAGUUGGCAGAAUAGUGCCACAG